rnacentral:rRNA from 1 species
UACCCCGCCGGGNUUAAGCAUAUCAAUAAGCGGAGGAAAAGAAACUAACAAGGAUGCGCUUAGUAACGGCGAGCGAACCGCGCAAAGCCCAACUUGAAAAUCUCCCUUGGAGAAUUGUAGUCUAUAGAAGUACCCUCUGCAACGGGCGGAGCUCAAGUCUCCUGGAAAGGAGCGUCAGAGAGGGUGAGAACCCCGUAAGCUCUUGCUUUGUUGCCUCACGAGGUGCUUUCGAAGAGUCGGGUUGCUUGGGAAUGCAGCCCAAAUUUGGUGGUAAAUCCCAUCUAAGGCUAAAUAUUGGCGAGAGACCGAUAGCGAACAAGUACCGUGAGGGAAAGAUGAAAAGAACUUUGAAAAGAGAGUUAAAAAGUGCUUGAAAUUGUUGAGGGGGAAGCGUUUGAAUGCUAGAGUGCGCCUAGGCUUAUGGGUUCUUAACGGAGCUCUGUAUGUGCUAGGUGCUGGCCAGCAUGGGUUGGGCGAGUGGGAUAACAACUGGGGUUGUUACCCGGUCUAUGCCACUUGCUUGACCAAGGCGUGAAGGCUGCUCUUGUCCUUCGGGAACU